CAGCAAUGCCGCGUGAGUGAAGAAGGCCUUCGGGUUGUAAAGCUCUUUUGUCAGGGAAGAAACGGUAGAGGCUAAUAUCCUUUGCUAAUGACGGUACCUGAAGAAUAAGCACCGGCUAACUACGUGCCAGCAGCCGCGGUAAUACGUAGGUGGCAAGCGUUGUCCGGAAUUAUUGGGCGUAAAGAGCUCGUAGGCGGUUUGUCGCGUCGUCUGUGAAAUUCCGGGGCUUAACUCCGGGCGUGCAGGCGAUACGGGCAUAACUUGAGUGCUGUAGGGGAGACUGGAAUUCCUGGUGUAGCGGUGAAAUGCGCAGAUAUCAGGAGGAACACCGGUGGCGAAGGCGGUUCUCUGGGCAUUACCUGACGCUGAGAAGCGAAAGCGUGGGGAGCAAACAGGCUUAGAU
rnacentral:rRNA from 1 species